UACGUAGGGUGCAAGCGUUGUCCGGAAUUAUUGGGCGUAAAGAGCUCGUAGGCGGUCUGUCGCGUCUGCUGUGAAAUCCCGGGGCUCAACCCCGGGCUUGCAGUGGAUACGGGCAGACUAGAGUGCGGUAGGGGAGAUUGGAAUUCCUGGUGUAGCGGUGGAAUGCGCAGAUAUCAGGAGGAACACCGAUGGCGAAGGCAGAUCUCUGGGCCGUAACUGACGCUGAGGAGCGAAAGCAUGGGGAGCGAACAGG
rnacentral:rRNA from 1 species